AAUACAGAGUUCAGUCACGACGAGGUGCUGCAGCAUUGCGAGGACAACCGAAGCUUGGAUGAGAGAAGGAAAUGUAUCAAGUACUGUCAUGUUUCCAAUUUCUUUACUGCUCAACCUUUCAUUUGAGGUAUGAUCAGUCGGCCCUGAAGGUUCAGGCUGAGGAGAACCAUCGCUGUCUCGGCUGGGUCCCGAAGAUUCAGGCUGAUGCGCACUAUUGCUGCCCCCAAUAUUUGCAGGUCCUGGCAGAUCGUCAAAAUGCUCUCCACCUCUGCUCUCAUAAUUGGACCUUCCAUUAUCACCGUCAUCUCCUGGAAUUCUUAGAACCUUGUCUGGCUGUGCCUCAACACCAACCCAUCUUAGAUGAAGCUGCCAGAUCAGUUGUUAAGUACAAAAGAAAAAUCCAGAACUUUUGCUUCGAGGCUCUAACGGAUCUGUAGGUUUUGAGUACCUGAAGGUACAGGUUGACCUCAUCUGGACGAGAAAGAAAGGGGAAAUCGCCACCUGUUUUCAGGAUGGCACGUCUGGCUCCAGGAAAUCUUUCACUCACUUGAUCUUUCAGCUGUUGCGGAACAGCACAGUAGUCAUUCGUCUGCAAGACAUGGCAGCAGUAGUUAACAUGGUACCCCACCAACUUACUAGAUCCUCAUAACUUAAUAAAUGUGUGACCGUUUCAGUCAAAAUGGAUGCUUCUAAAUUAUACUGCCUGUAUGCUAGAAUAACAGUGGCUAACAUGAGGGAUAAUUCCUA
rnacentral:lncRNA from 1 species